GGCUGCCUAGCGCAAUGGUAGCGCGUUUGGCUUCGAUGGGUUAACACAACUCAGGUACCAAAAGGUUGCAUGUUCGAGUCCUGCGGUGGUCA